rnacentral:lncRNA from 1 species
AAGAGAAGUGGCAAGGUUCUGGAUUGAAAUUCUAAGUGUGCAUGUGUGCAUGUGUUUGAUUACUUCUUUGUUGUUUGUGUUUGUGUGUGGACUUUGACCUUGGUUAAUUGGUCCUAAUGUCAGUAUCUUCAAUCUCAUUAGAUAAAAUGUAUGACCUUGGUUAAUUGGUCCUAAUGUCAGUAUCUUCAAUCUCAUUAGAUAAAAUGUAUGAAUUUGACCUUGGUUAGUUCCAACGUCAAUAUUUGAAUCUUGUGAAAUAAAAGUAUUGCCGAUUUGCUGUCCAAUAUUACUGUAUCAAAGACACGAAUGAAAUUUAUAAACAGAUGAAUGCCAAUAGCUACACACAUCUGGCUUCAGCAUGCUACUGUUAGACUGUACUACAUUUCGGAUUUAUCUUCGACAUAUUAGCUAGCUUCUCUUCCUGAUCGAUCAGAUCGUAUAGUGAAAAAACUAGAAUGUUUCUAGCAGCGAAAUAGUCUGAUAGGGCGUGAAAGUUUGCAGAAGAUUUGGGAAGGGAAGACAGAUGAUGCACCUCUAUGAAUUCCAGAGAGUUUCAGUGAUGGCUCUCAAACCCCACCGCCUCCAUAAACGGGGAUGUAUUCACCUCUGCAUUCAUUUUAGACUUCGGAUUUUCUCUUUAUCAUGACUAGAGUUCAAUGCUAUUUCGGACUUGAGCAGAAUGAACAAGCACAACAGAGAGGAGGUUCUGCAGAAAGCCGAAAAGGAUUUAGUCGCAGUGGCAGAUCAGUUCAUGGUCUGGCUGAUUAAGGAGCUGCAAGGGACUGAUUUUUGGAUGCUACGACAAGCAUACUCGCCUGGGGUAGCUUCUACUUGUGCUGCAUUAUUAUGUGGUGUUGAUUCGCUUGAGUUGUGGUUUGGUGUUGCAGAUACAAGAGCGUGUUGAAGCUGCAACCUUCUGUAAAUUCUGCGGGAAAAUGUAGGCGAGCUGAUUAUGGAUUAAGAGUACUGCAGGUAACUGAAAGUGAUGAAUGCUUUGGAUUUUGACUAAAGUAUAUACGUUGCUGCCCAGCUUGCAAAUUUAACUGGAGAGAUGAUGCUGGAGGCAAUUGUGCUGGUGAAGUUGAUGUUGCUGAGAAGACAUGCAAGUUUGUGCUUGAAAUUUACAGGGAACUGACUCCGGUUUGUCCCCUUUAUGGAUGAUAUAUAGUAAUGAAUAUAAUGUCUAUAAUGUUAAGAUAUAAACACAACUGUUCUUUGAUCAGUAGGGGACUAUACAUCUGACGUUCUGACCAAACCUUCAAAGCCAAAACCAAACCCAUAAACGUGGUUGCCUACUAUAUAAUGGAAGCCGUCCCAUGCUUGUUAGCAGGCAAUAUAUUGAGGUUUAAUAUUAACAGCUUUUCUAUGUUAAGAUUUUAUCGAGAUUUUCUUACGCAUCUUUCGAUACUAAUUGAGGUUUAAUAUUACAGUCGAACUUUUCUAUGUUAAGAUUUUAUCAAGAUUUUCUUACGCAUCUUUCGAUACUGAUUGAGGUUUAAUAUUACAGUCGAGCUUUUCUAUAUUAAGAUUCAUCAAGAUUUUCUUACGCAUCUUCCGAUAUUAAAAUGUCGUAGGUAAAGAAAACUGUCUCUUUGAUCAAUAGGCUGGGGAUAUAUACAUCUGUGCUAGCUCGUUUAGUAGGCAAUCAAAAUCUGAUCGUUUCGUGACUACCAGAAGGGUAUCAUGUCACUAACUCAGCCUCCUCCAGCUCUUCCCCAAUACUUGCAAGAAAAUGAGAUCAGCCAAGAAACCAGAGACAUGAUAUCUACUCUACCUAGAGAUCAAGGUUGGGUUGUAAGUCAUCUCUAUCAGUACCAAGGCUUUUGGCACUCAACUAGGCAGAUAGAAGGAGUCUUGGCGUGCCAAGAAAACUUCCGAGCUCAAGAUUCUGAUAUCUUACUUGUUACUACUCCCAAAUCAGGUACCACUUGGCUUAAGGCAAUCUUGUUUUCCCUUGUGAAACGAGGAGAGUAUUAUCAUCCAGACCCUAAAGACCACCCCUUCCUCACGAAAAACCCUCAUGUUCUUGUGCCCUUCUUGGAGCUUGGUCUGUACCUUCAGAAACCGGUACCUGACCUCGCCUCCUAUGCCCCUCCUCGGCUCUUUUCAACUCACUUACCACUUGUGUCUCUACCGGAAUCAGUCAAAGACUCUGCUUGCAAGGUUGUCUAUCUGUGUAGGAACCCUAAGGACACAUUUGUUUCACUCUGGCACUUCGCAAACAGAUUGAGACCCGAGAGUCGGGGAAGCAUUUCACUUGAAGAAGCUUUAGAAUUGUUCUGCAGGGGAGUGAGUUUGUAUGGACCCUUCUGGGAUCAUGUUUUGGGGUACUGGAAUGAGAGCUUGAAAAGGCCUCAAAGUGUAUUUUUCAUCAAAUAUGAGGAAAUGAAAGAAGAAGAAGAAGCCGGUUCUCACUUGAGGAAGCUAGCUGAGUUCUUGGGGUGCCCAUUUUCUCCAGAAGAAGAGGCACAAGGGGUGGUGGGCAACAUCCUGAAGCAUUGUAGUUUUGAGACUUUGAGCAAUUUGGAUGUGAACAAAAGAGGGAAGUUAUCAUCCGGCGAGGAGCAUAGUGCUUUCUUUCGGCGAGGGGAGGCUGGAGAUUGGAGGAAUCAGUUGACUGCUGAGAUGGCGGAACAGAUAGACCGUAUCACUGAAGAGAAGUUGCAAGGUUCUGGAUUGAAAUUUUAAGUGUGCAUGUGUUUUUUUACUUCUUUGUUGUUCGUGUUUGUGUGUGGACUUUGACCUUGGUUAAUUGGUUCUAAUGUCAGUAUCUUCAAUCUCAUGAAAUAAAAUGUAUGAAUUUGACCUUGGUUAGUUCCAACGUCAAUAUUUGAAUCUUGUGAAAUAAAAGUAUUGCCAAUUUGCUGUCCAAUAUUACUGUAUCAAAGACAC